rnacentral:tRNA from 1 species
GGGCUGUAGCUCAGUUGGGAGAGCGUCGCGUUCGCAAUGCGAAGGUCAGGGGUUCGAAUCCCCUCAGCUCC